rnacentral:misc_RNA from 1 species
GAUGAAGAACGUAGCGAAAUGCGAUAAGUAAUGUGAAUUGCAGAAUCCAGUGAAUCAUCGAAUCUUUGAACGCACAUUGCGCCCGCCAGCAUUCUGGCGGGCAUGCCUGUUCGAGCGUCAUUUCAACCCUCGACCUCCCUUUGGGGAAGUCGGCGUUGGGGACCGGCAGCACACCGCCGGCCCUGAAAUGGAGUGGCGGCCCGUCCGCGGCGACCUCUGCGUAGUAAUCCAACUCGCACCGGAACCCCGACGCGGCCACGCCGUAAAACACCCAACUUCUGAACGUUGACCUCGAAUCAGGUAGGACUACCCGCUGAAUUUAAGCAUAUCAAUAAGCGGAGGA